rfam:Loxodonta africana unplaced genomic scaffold scaffold_5, whole genome shotgun sequence.
GUGUUGGUGGUUCAGUGGUAGAAUUCCUGCCUUCCAUGUGGGAGACCUGGGUUCAGUUCCUGGCCAUGUACA